rnacentral:pre_miRNA from 1 species
UAUAUACUCCCUCCAUUCUAAAUUACUUGUCUUGGAUUUGUCUAGAUACAAAUGUAUCUAGACUCAUUUUAGUGCUAAAUACAUCCGUAUCUAGACAAAUCUAAGACAAGUAAUUCGGAACGGAGGGAGUAUAUG